AGAGUUUGAUUCUGGCUCAGGAUGAACGCUGGCGGCGUGCCUAAUACAUGCAAGUCGAACGCACAGCGAAAGGUGCUUGCACCUUUCAAGUGAGUGGCGAACGGGUGAGUAACACGUGGAUAACCUACCUCAAGGUUGGGGAUAACAUUUGGAAACAGAUGCUAAUACCGAAUAAAACUUCGUAUCGCAUGAUACAAGGUUAAAAGGCGCUACGGCGUCACCUAGAGAUGGAUCCGCGGUGCAUUAGUUAGUUGGUGGGGUAAAGGCCUACCAAGACAAUGAUGCAUAGCCGUGUUGAGAGACUGAUCGGCCACAUUGGGACUGAGACACGGCCCAAACUCCUACGGGAGGCUGCAGUAGGGAAUCUUCCACAAUGGGCGAAAGCCUGAUGGAGCAACGCCGCGUGUGUGAUGAAGGCUUUCGGGUCGUAAAGCACUGUUGUAUGGGAAGAACAGCUAGAGUAGGGAAUGACUUUAGUUUGACGGUACCAUACCAGAAAGGGACGGCUAAAUACGUGCCAGCAGCCGCGGUAAUACGUAUGUCCCGAGCGUUAUCCGGAUUUAUUGGGCGUAAAGCGAGCGCAGACGGUUGAUUAAGUCCGAUGUGAAAGCCCGGAGCUCAACUCCGGAAAGGCAUUGGAAACUGGUCAACUUGAGUGCAGUAGAGGUAAGUGGAACUCCAUGUGUAGCGGUGGAAUGCGUAGAUAUAUGGAAGAACACCAGCGGCGAAGGCGGCUUACUGGACUGUAACUGACGUUGAGGCUCGAAAGUGUGGGUAGCAAACAGGAUUAGAUACCCUGGUAGUCCACACCGUAAACGAUGA
rnacentral:rRNA from 1 species